GUAGCCUGUAUCCCAGAAAGAUGCUCCUACAAAACAUGCUAGUUAUCCGUUUAGCAAACGUGUUUUGUAAAUGAAAAUGUAGUUGCACGGAAUGUCAUGCCCGCUAUAAAAGUAGUUUUGCUAUACAAGUCGACUGCUGUUUUUAAAUGUUAAGCAGCUACCUUUAACACAAGAUAGUCCAACAUCGUUUCAGAUCCAGCACUAUGCGCAGUGAUCCAGUGGACUGUGUAGUGAAAUCCCCAGUGGCCCUACAGCUGGGUGAUGUCGUGUCUGAUUCAGCCCGUCCCGGUGUCUAUAUUACAGACAUUGUACUUUCAACGCCAGUAAAUAUUCAAGAAAUUACGUUCAAGAAUUACUACACAGCCUACCUGUCAGUGCGAGUGUUAAAGAAUGAGGAAGGGAACGACGGGAGUCCAGCUAUGUGGUUCACCUGUAUGAAAAACUACUGCCUUAUGUCCAGUCCACACACUGAAGGUGGAUCACAGGAAUACUUUUCUAUCUACAGACAGCAGAUGCUGACGGAACCAGAUAACGUUAUUACUGUGAGGCUCAUACUAAGACAGCCUUCCUCAGUCUGGCUGAAUUUCAACAUAGAGGAAGUCAAAAUAUACCCAUUGGUAGAUGAAGAAUCAGAAAGAGAUGUUCCUUCCUGGUUAUCUACAAUCACACCAGCUGAAGAGUCUCUUGAUUUGAAUGGGCUUCCUGAUCCAGACACGGUGUCAUCGAGUAUUCAGCACAUGUGGGCUUUGACCGAAAUCAUGCAGUCAAGCCAGACCUCCGCCUCCAUCGGCCGCUUUGACGUGGAUGGCUGCUAUGAUGUCAACCUUCUUUCAUACAAAUAACAGGAAGUGACCAUGAAUUCAACAAGAAUGCUGUAGAGCUUAUAACAAACUGGGAAAUGACCUUUGUGGGUGUGCUGUGGUGUCUGGUGAUGGAUCCAUUGGGUGGAAUGGGUUGCAGGCUGGAACCUUUAUGGAUCAGACUUGUUCACAUCAUGUCGUUGCUCAGGGCAGACUGAAAUCUGCGGAAUUUGGAGGGCGGAUCAACAACUUGGAACCUUUUGCCUACUGAGCCUAAACACUGUGGCAAACAUUGCCUUUUUUUUUUUUUUUUUUUUAGUAAUCUGUGCUAAAUUGAGUUUUCUGUAGGAUCGACCCAUAGAUGUGAGAGAGGUUUGGGAGUCCAUGAUCCUGUUGCCAGUUUACUAGUUUAUAAAUGAUAAUAUUAUUCAGUUCACCUGGUGGUGGUGUUGUGGCUGAUCAGUAAUUGAGAGUCAUUAUAUCCGUGGUGGACAAACUUGAGUGCAUCAUCCCAGAAGUGGCUGGCCUACCAAAAUUCCUUCUAGAGCACAUCAUUGAUUAAUCUGAGAAGUCUAACAGGCAUCCACAAAACAAGUCUAAGGAGCUGCACUUACCUCAGAUAAUAUUAGCAUUUAUCAUUCAAAAAGACUGAUUCCCAAGCUUUAUGGCAUUUGGUAAGCCAUGUUUUGUUGACUGUUGGCAGAACAUUUUGCAAGACCAAUAUAUCUGACAUAAAACUAACACAGCAGUCCACAAUAUUAACAUAAUACCAGCUUUCAAAAACACUGAUGGCAGUGAGAUGGCAUAAAGAUACUUUGCUGCUCCAGGGCCUGGACAACUUGCCAUAACUGUUGGAUGAAUUAAAUGUGCUUAAUUUCAGAAAAUAGUAAAGGAGAAUGCUCUGUCAUCAUUCUGUGAUCUCAAGCUCAAAUGAAG